UCGGGAAUUUUGCGCAAUGGGCGAAAGCCUGACGCAGCAACGCCGCGUGAGGGAUGAAGGCCUUCGGGUUGUAAACCUCUUUUCUCAGGGACGAUGAUGACGGUACCUGAGGAAUAAGCCACGGCUAACUACGUGCCAGCAGCCGCGGUAAUACGUAGGUGGCGAGCGUUGUCCGGAUUUACUGGGCGUAAAGAGCGCGCAGGCGGUCGGUCAAGUCGAGUGUGAAAGCCCCCGGCUCAACUGGGGAGGGUCAUUCGAUACUGAUCGACUCGAAGGCAGGAGAGGGAAGUGGAAUUCCCGGUGUAGUGGUGAAAUGCGUAGAUAUCGGGACGAACACCAGUGGCGAAGGCGACUUCCUGGCCUGUUCUUGACGCUGAGGCGCGAAAGCUAGGGGAGCAAACGGGAUUAGAUACCCCCGGUAGUCCUAGCCGUAAACGAUGGACACUAGGUGUUGGUGGUAUCAACCCCGCAGUGCCGAAGCUAACGCAUUAAGUGUCCCGCUGGGGA
rnacentral:rRNA from 1 species